CAAUAGCGUAUAUUAAAGUUGUUGCGGUUAAAAAGCUCGUAGUUGGAUUUCUGCUGAGAACGACCGGUCCGCCCUCUGGGUGUGUAUCUGGCUCUUUCUUGGCAUCUUCUUGGUGAACGUUGCUGCACUUGACUGUGUGGAGCGCUACCCAGGACUUUUACUUUGAGGAAAUUAGAGUGUUUCAAGCAGGCAUACGCCUUGAAUACAUUAGCAUGGAAUAAUAAGAUAGGACCUCGGUUCUAUUUUGUUGGUUUCUAGAGCUGAGGUAAUGAUUAAUAGGGAUAGUUGGGGGCAUUCGUAUUUAACUGUCAGAGGUGAAAUUCUUGGAUUUGCUAAAGACGGACUACUGCGAAAGCAUUUGCCAAGGAUGUUUUCAUUGA
rnacentral:rRNA from 1 species